AACGAACGCUGGCGGCAGGCUUAACACAUGCAAGUCGAACGCAUCCUUCGGGGUGAGUGGCAGACGGGUGAGUAACGCGUGGGAACGUGCCCUUCAGUUCGGGAUAACCCAGGGAAACUUGGGCUAAUACCGGAUACGUGCGAGAGCAGAAAGAUUUAUCGCUGAAGGAUCGGCCCGCGUCUGAUUAGCUAGUUGGUGGGGUAAUGGCCCACCAAUGCGACGUGCAGUAGCUGGUCUGAGAGGAUGACCAGCCACAUUGGGACUGAGACACGGCCCAAACUCCUACGGGAGGAAGCAGUGGGGAAUAUUGGACAAUGGGCGCAAGCCUGGUCCAGCCAUGCCGCGUGAGUGAUGAAGGCCUUAGGUUUGUAAAGCUCUUUCGUCCGGGACGAUAAUGACGGUACCGGAAGAAGAAGCCCCGGCUAACUUCGUGCCAGCCGCCGCGGUAA
rnacentral:rRNA from 1 species